rnacentral:rRNA from 1 species
CUACGGAGGGUGCAAGCGUUAAUCGGAAUUACUGGGCGUAAAGCGUACGUAGGCGGUUAGUUAAGUUAGAUGUGAAAGCCCCGGGCUUAACCUGGGAACUGCAUUUAAAACUGGCUAACUAGAGUUAAGUAGAGGGGAGUGGAAUUUCAGGUGUAGCGGUGAAAUGCGUAGAGAUCUGAAGGAACACCAGUGGCGAAGGCGACUCCCUGGACUUGAACUGACGCUGAGGUACGAAAGCGUGGGUAGCAAACGGGAUUAGAAACCCCAGUAGUCC